CUGGGGGCGGGGGGUGUUCCUCAGCCCGGAUUGUGAGAGGGCACAGGCCAGGCUGAGGGAUCCCACCAGUGCAUG
rnacentral:pre_miRNA from 1 species